UUCGAGAGUCAGCAGCGUCGACGGGUACGUUUCAUACAGGUCCCUCACUUCCAGACCUCCGGCCGCCAUGGCCUCGAGCAAACUCAUUCCACGGCGAGCCGGCGACGGCGACCCAGAGUGGCCGCCGCCGACCAAGGCUUCGGCGAUCAGAUAAUGGAUAAGAACAGAAAAUGAGUCUAAAGCUACUUUAAAGCUAGCUAAACUGCUUAUACUCUCUAGAUCUGAUCAACUGGAAACCUGACCAACCAGAGAAAUGUUAUUCUAUGGUGGGCAUUGAGCAAAUGGAGCUUGAUUGGAGCGAGCAGAAGUGCUACUUGUCCUUGUGUUCUGCAAGCUGGUCAUCUUGAUCUCCAUUGUUUCUGGACAUAGUUAACGGCUGCAGCUCCAGUUCCUGCCUGCGUGACCGAGGUGACCUGAGUAUCCAAAAUAAAUGGCAGUUAGACACAAAUUCAAUCACGCACCGAUGAUUCAUGGGAUCUUUUGUUAUCAUGUUGUGCCUAGCAGCAAAUUGCGAAAUCUGAAGUCUAUACUCUGCUGAUGCUAGAAUGAACAGCACAAAAUUCUGAACAUGAAACGUGCCUACACACACUCCUUACCUCUUCCGUAAACUGGAUCUGUUUCCACCUGAGGAGAGCACGGUAGCAGGUGCAGACAAAUAUCCAGCAUCAUCUGACGAUGAGGUGCUCGUCUUUUCACAUUGCAGAAGAACAUGGGCAAAAUAAAUUCUCCGAAAGUUUGUAGAUGGAAAGGAUAAAAAAAAAAGGAUAUGCAGAUCCUGGUGAGCUGGUGAAAGUUUCAGAAAGAAAUGUACUCACAUUUUGAUGAGACGCGGUCUUCUUCAGCUUACGUGUCUUCUUGUUGUGAUUUUUUCCCUUGCCUUUGAGAGCACAGAUGCAUUUUAAGAUGUAAUACAGAAGAACACACCCAAGGGAUAGCUCAAUUGUUAAGGCUGUUCUCAACACUGAAAGUAUUUGUAACACGGAGAAAUGGUCAGUACAAUUUGGUGGAUGUAGACAUCUAGUGCAGAAGGUUGUGCUAAACACAAAAACCACCAGCAUGGACACUUACAAAGAUCUCUUGACUUCACAGAUUUCCUUAUGAGUAGACGAAUGGUCUUUAUGGUGGACAAUGGCGUCCCUGAUUUCAUUGAACAGUCUGGGUAGCAUCCAAAGUAUCCCAGGUCAUUUACAAUAAUAACUAAGGUUGUUUCAUUGCUUCGACCCUGAAAGAGAAACAUAACCCAUAUUUUAGUCUGAACAUUCUCCUAAUCUCCUGUGGGGCAUGAAAUAUACCAUUUUAGUCUGAACACUUAGGUAAUCAUUCACAAAGUCAGGCACCAAUUCAAUCUUUCCAAAAAGCAGUUCAUUUGGAUUGUCUGAAAAGUUUAGCUUUCCUGAAGUGCAGUAACAGAUAUGCAAUUACAAAGACACCUAUGACUUAUGCAACGGACUGCAUAAUUUACCUGGCCGAGGAACAACAUAUUCACUCAAGAAAGGAGACAAAUAAUUCAUGGAAUGAACUAAUGAAGUGACCAGAGAAGAUAAAAUAUUUACCUGGUAGAACAACCGCUGCAUUGCAUUGUUGCAAUCAGAGACACUCCCACGGAACCUGAUACCAGCUACUCUCAGGACUAUGCGAUCAGCACUGGAAGUCUGAAGGGGCUGCCAACAGUUGUUCCCUUCAAUCUUCACCUCUGCAGUGGCGACGAUACCAGCUGUCAAGGUUACCAUGAGAGCUCCUUCAUGAACUUCUAAUGAGAGAACCAGCUGAAGAUGGGACUUGUUCCCUGCAAAACGAAUGAGAAUAAAGCGAGCUAAGUUAAUCUGAAAGGCCAAAGAACAACAGUUACAUGUCAAAGUAAGCAUGAUAUUCCUCAUCUACCAAUAAUAGAAAGAGGUGAUGAAGUACCUGGGAAACUCUGAAGAUCUGGUUCAACAAUGGAGGACUCAAAUGGAUCCCUUUGUUUGUCAAAGAUUUGAUAUCCUUCAAUUGAUUUUUUCCCACCCAAGAAAAUCGAUUCUGGAGCUAAUAUAACUGGUGGAUCGUUGAUUGGCUCUACGAAAAUGGGUACUUGAGCAUCUUCUCUUCCACUCCUGCUCAUGGCAUAAAUCUUUAUAAUAUCAUUUCCAUAGAAGUCUUCGUUUCUGCACAUGGUGAUAGAAUUAUGAUCAUUAGUAAACAACUAUAUUGACCCUUGUGAAAUAAAUCCUUGUAAGACUAGGAAGAUUCAGAUUCUUGAUUACUACCCGAUAUACUUAACAAAUCGUAGCGCUCCAUUUAUUGCUUCGACUGUUCCGUUGAAUAUCAAAUCUUUGCCAUAUCUAUCUCCUGUGCUGAUUGAAAGUACGUCAUAUGAUGUCUGAUGAAAUUUCAUUGGCAUAGGAGCAAGAGACACAUUUCCAGACUGCGCUUGUAGCAUAACAGAGAUAUUUUCUGCUGCAUCUGAAUAUGCUAUCUUAAUCCCUGGAAACCCACUGCCCAAAACAUAUCAGCAAGUGAUUAGUUCAGAAAUCCAAACAAAAGAAGUGAUGAUAGGUCGGGAGAAACAGCUAUUUACCCGAAUUGUGGGGCAAUCGUGUCUUCAGUAGCAUGUAGCUGUUGGGGUAAAGAAAUAAACUGGGGUGGUCUGCAGAGAACUGAUAUGAACACUGUGCCGUAUGCAAUGUUGUCAUGCUUGUCGAAUAUUAUGUACCAAAAUGUGUCAUUUCCAAAGAA